UACGAAGGGGGCUAGCGUUGCUCGGAAUCACUGGGCGUAAAGCGCACGUAGGCGGCUUUCUAAGUCAGGGGUGAAAUCCUGGAGCUCAACUCCAGAACUGCCUUUGAUACUGGGAAGCUCGAGUCCGGAAGAGGUGAGUGGAACUGCGAGUGUAGAGGUGAAAUUCGUAGAUAUUCGCAAGAACACCAGUGGCGAAGGCGGCUCACUGGCCCGAUACUGACGCUGAGGCACGAAAGCGUGGGGAGCAAACAGG
rnacentral:rRNA from 1 species